CAGAAGAUACUGUGAUUGUUGGAUGAGUGGAGUGUGGACAGGAGGAGGACAGGGGAGGGUGGAAGAUGGUGGAGCUCAAACCACCUGCAGCUGAGCACCUCCAAGACCAAGGAGAAGGUGGUGGAUUUCAGGAGGAAUAGACCUCAUCUCCAGCCUUUUUACAUCAUGGGCACGGAUAUGGAGGUGGUCAGGACCUACAAGUACCUGGGACUGCAGCUGGACCAUAAACUGGACUGGUCGUCUGUACUUCCUGAGGAGACUGGGCUCCUUCAACAUCUGAUGUGCUGCCAUCCAAACCUGUCCAGGUGAGCAAGCAGGAAGUGGAAGAGUCUAAAGGUCCCACAUGUCCAAGUCCUUGUGGCGUUUACGCCCAUCUCCCACUGGAGGCGAAGCUCCUGCUGAUGCUGUAGACGUUGGCGGAGCUCCGAUGUUUCCCCCAGGCGCCCAACGGAACGAUGACGAUGGUGGCGUUGUCUUCCGAGCCGUACUGCAGCGCCUGGAAGACAGAUCCGUGUUUCGUAACUUCUAAUGUUCACUGGAUCAAUGCAAUAAAUGCAGCAUGGCUCAGAAACAGUGAACAGAGGGACAAGUUGUUGGAGAUACACCCCCUCUCAAAAGUUUUGAGACGGGUUCUAAUUUAUUUGAAUGAGAAAGUGUCUCAAAACUUUUGACAGAGGGAAUACAUCCAUCAUGGUGAAACAUCUUUCUAAAGCUGAUGACUAGAGCAGAGAGAAAAGUCUGUAGAGGCUGGAAACAUGGAAAUAGUGGAGGUAACAUUUAUAUAAGUGGUUGAAACAUCUGUAGAAACACGUUGGACAUGUUGAUUCCAGGUUUUUACAGUUUUGAUGAAUGUAUAAUCAAAUAAAUGCUUCUUUUCCCGAUUUCUGUCAUUCUAACUGUGUCAUUCAUGGUUGUUCUAUUUCCAAUGAGUUGCAGGACUUUAUAUUGUCAGAAGUUUAUUGCAGUUGUUGAAUAAAAUGUUGCACUCUCAGAAACAAAUGGUGCUCUGGGAUUAUUUUGUGUCAAUUCAAAUUCAAAUUUAAGCAAAAUAUGACGAGUUCAACUAAAAAAGUUUACAGCAAA